rnacentral:rRNA from 1 species
GACACGGUCCAGGCUCCUACGGGAGGCAGCAGUGGGGAAUAUUGCACAAUGGGGGAAACCCUGAUGCAGCAACGCCGCGUGAGUGAUGAAGGUCUUCGGAUCGUAAAACUCUGUCUUAUGGGACGAUAAUGACGGUACCAUAGGAGGAAGCCACGGCCUAACUACGUGCCAGCAGCCGCGGUAAUACGUAGGUGGCAAGCGUUGUCCGGAUUUACUGGGCGUAAAGGAUG